GUUUAGCAAUGUGAAUCUUGAUUCACAUCAGAGAAGACGUUAUAAGUGCUAAAUAUUUGCAUUAAGUUGGUUUUAAAGUAAAUUUACGAAUAAAUAUAGAUUGAAAAGGAUUAACACCAAUUUCUAGUAACGAAUCUAGCUUAAUUUUUAAGCAUAAUUUAACAAAUUCCAAGAAAGGAGAAAUCAUAAUCACGUAGUGUUGCAAAGAGUUUAUUUAAACAGUCGAGUACCAUUGUCAUCUUGGCUGAAUACCUUUUGAAGUCAGUGCCAGACUGAUGAGGAAUUUUAAGGUUCCAGCUAUGAAUCGGCAUCAGCUAGUCGUGCUGAGUGUGUGCAUAGCGCUGGCGCAAGCCGCCUGGAUUGAUGAAAUUGACGAAGACGAUGUAGAUCUCACUCCAGUAAAACCCAAUAAACCGUGCAAGAAACUAAUUGAUGGACAAGAACUACAAGAAGGCGUUUGCGUCCACGAAAGCAUGUGCGAAGAUUUUGUGAUCCCACCAGUGACCAGUGAACUCCAUAUUAUGCCCUGUCCAGGCCGUUUUGACUGGUGUUGCCUGUCCCCAAAAAUGGCAUCCACGGAGACAAGUACAGAUCUAAACCUACCAACCACAGGGAAGCAAUGACGCUGAGGGAACCAACCUGUCUAAAUAAAACUAUUUUCGAUUUCAUUACAAGCUGGAGCAUAUAAGUACAAUAAAGAUUUCCUUCUUUUGUAGAUUUUAGAGUUGUUACAUUUAGUAUUAGACAAAUCUUUAAUUUCAGGUCACCUAUACUGAUAU